rnacentral:rRNA from 1 species
CAGACAUGCUCCGUGCGUUCAGCCGAAAGGUGUACUCGUACGGUUGCAGGCUAGAGUCUGUUCUUGGGGUCGGAAAAGGCCCGGGUAAGGUAGCUCUCUUCGGGGAGUGUUAUAGACCUGGGCAGAUGCGCUGCGCGGGACUGAGGAUUGCAGCGGACACCCCUUCGGGGGCGCGGCGACCGAACCCUGCUCGGCCACCCUCGUUCGAUAGCGUGCUAGCGGACGCGGGAGCGGCAGUGCACCGGAACAGGCAAGCCAGCGGUUCGCUAAGGAUGCUGACGU